rnacentral:rRNA from 1 species
GAUGAACGCUGGCGGCGUGCCUAAUACAUGCAAGUCGAGCGAACAGACGAGGAGCUUGCUCCUCUGACGUUAGCGGCGGACGGGUGAGUAACACGUGGAUAACCUACCUAUAAGACUGGGAUAACUUCGGGAAACCGGAGCUAAUACCGGAUAAUAUAUUGAACCGCAUGGUUCAAUAGUGAAAGACGGUUUUGCUGUCACUUGUAGAUGGAUCCGCGCCGCAUUAGCUAGUUGGUAAGGUAACGGCUUACCAAGGCAACGAUGGGUAGCCGACCUGAGAGGGUGAUCGGCCACACUGGAACUGAGACACGGUCCAGACUCCUACGGGAGGCAGCAGUAGGGAAUCUUCCGCAAUGGGCGAAAGCUUGACGGAGCAACGCCGCGUGAGUGAUGAAGGUCUUCGGAUCGUAAAACUCUGUUAUUAGGGAAGAACAAAUGUGUAAGUAACUAUGCACGUCUUGACGGUACCUAAUCAGAAAGCCACGGCUAACUACGUG